UUAAAAAGCUCGUAGUUGAAUUUUUGAUCUGGCCGAGAGUACGACCGCGAGGUCAGUAUCCUUGGCUGGAUCUUUCCUUCUGGAGAGCCAUUAUGCCAUUUAUUUGGUGUUUUGGGGAUCCAGGACUUUUACCUUGAAAAAAUUAGAGUGUUUAAAGCAGGCAUACGCUUGAAUACAUUAGCAUGGAAUAAUAGAAUAGGACUUUGGUUCUAUUUUGUUGGUUUCUAGGACCGAAGUAAUGAUUAAUAGGGAUAGUUGGGGG
rnacentral:rRNA from 1 species